UACGUAGGGGGCGAGCGUUGUCCGGAUUUAUUGGGCGUAAAGAGCUCGUAGGCGGUUGGGUAAGUCGGGUGUGAAAACUCCAGGCUCAACUUGGAGACGCCACCCGAUACUGCUCUGACUUGAGUUCGGUAGGGGAGUGGGGAAUUCCUGGUGUAGCGGUGAAAUGCGCAGAUAUCAGGAGGAACACCGGUGGCGAAGGCGCCACUCUGGGCCGAAACUGACGCUGAGGAGCGAAAGCGUGGGUAGCAAACAGG
rnacentral:rRNA from 1 species